GGAUUGUAAACUGCUUAACUGGGGAAACACUCCAACGUGUUGGAGCUUGACGGUAUCGUAAGAAUAAGGAUCGGCUAACUCCGUGCCAGCAGCCGCGGUAAUACGGAGGAUCCAAGCGUUAUCCGGAAUCAUUGGGUUUAAAGGGUCCGUAGGCGGUUUAGUAAGUCAGUGGUGAAAGCCCAUCGCUCAACGGUGGAACGGCCAUUGAUACUGCUAAACUUGAAUUAUUAGGAAGUAACUAGAAUAUGUAGUGUAGCGGUGAAAUGCUUAGAGAUUACAUGGAAUACCAAUUGCGAAGGCAGGUUACUACUAAUGGAUUGACGCUGAUGGACGAAAGCGUGGGUAGCGAACAGGAUUAGAUACCCUGGUAGUCCACGCCGUAAACGAUGGAUACUAGCUGUUGGAAGCAAUUUCAGUGGCUAAGCGAAAGUGAUAAGUAUCCCACCUGGGGAGUACGUUCGCAAGAAUGAAACUCAAAGGAAUUGACGGGGGCCCGCACAAGCGGUGGAGCAUGUGGUUUAAUUCGAUGAUACUCGAGGAACCUUACCAAGGCUUAAAUGUAGAUUGACCGGUUUGGAAACAGAUCUUUUCGCAAGA
rnacentral:rRNA from 1 species